rnacentral:rRNA from 1 species
GGACCCGCACAAGUAGUGGAGCAUGUGGUUUAAUUCGAAGAUACGCGCAGAACCUUACCAACACUUGACAUGUUCGUCGCGACUUUAAGAGAUUAAAGUUUUCGGUUCGGCCGGACGAAACACAGGUGCUGCAUGGCUGUCGUCAGCUCGUGUCGUGAGAUGUUGGUUAAGUCCCGCAACGAGCGCAAUUCCCUCACUUUUAGUUGCCAUCAUUAAGUUGGGCACUCUGAAAAGAACUGCCAGUGAUAAGCUGGAGGAAGGUGGGGAUGACGUCAAGUCCUCAUGGCCCUUACGUGUUGGGCUACACACGUGCUACAAUGGUAUCUAACAACAGGAAGCAAGACUGCGAGGACAAGCAAA